AUGUACAUGCCUAUAGCGUUAAUGCACCGGAUCCCAUCAGAACUCCGUAGUUAAGUGCGCUUGGGCUAGAGUAGUACUCGGAUGGGUGACCUCCCGGGAAGUCCUAGUGUUUUACAUG
rnacentral:rRNA from 1 species